AAUGUACCCGGAUGUGGUGAUCUUUUUGUGUCUCUUCUCCACACCAAUCUUGACAGCUACGCUAGAACAAUCACGAAGUUUGUGCAGAAAUAACCAAUGGCAGUGCAGCAAUGGCGACUGUGUGACCUUGGACGCAAAAUGCAACGGCACUCUGGACUGUGCCGAUGGAAGUGACGAGACUGAGACGUUUGCAAGCUGUCAUGGGAAAACUAA